rnacentral:rRNA from 1 species
UACGGGGGGGGCAAGCGUUGUUCGGAAUUACUGGGCGUAAAGGGUUUGUAGGUGGCUUGUUAAGUCAGACGUGAAAUCCCUCAGCUUAACUGGGGAACUGCGUCUGAUACUGGUGAGCUUGAGUGCAGGAGAGGAACGCGGAAUUCCAGGUGUAGCGGUGAAAUGCGUAGAUAUCUGGAGGAACACCUAUGGCGAAGGCAGCUCGCUGGGACGUUACUGACGCUGAGACGCGAAAGCGUGGGGAGCAAACAGG